rnacentral:rRNA from 1 species
UUGAACGCUGGCGGCAUGCUUUACACAUGCAAGUCGAACGGUAGACCCUUUCGGGGGUUGAGAGUGGCGAACGGGUGAGUAAUGCAUCGGAACAUACCCAGUCGUGGGGGAUAACGUAGCGAAAGUUACGCUAAUACCGCAUGAGUCCUGAGGGAGAAAGCGGGGGAUCGCAAGACCUCGCGCGGUUGUAGUGGCCGAUGUCAGAUUAGCUAGUUGGUGGGGUAAAGGCCUACCAAGGCGACGAUCUGUAGCGGGUCUGAGAGGAUGAUCCGCCACACUGGGACUGAGACACGGCCCAGACUCCUACGGGAGGCAGCAGUGGGGAAUUUUGGACAAUGGGGGCAAGCCUGAUCCAGCCAUGCCGCGUGAGUGAAGAAGGCCUUCGGGUUGUAAAGCUCUUUCGGACGGAAAGAAACGGUCACGGCCAAUACCCGUGGCUAAUGACGGUACCGUCAGAAGAAGCACCGGCUAACUACGU